rfam:Aspergillus wentii DTO 134E9 unplaced genomic scaffold ASPWEscaffold_1, whole genome shotgun sequence.
GGCAAGAUGGCCGAGCGGUCCAAGGCGCCAGACUCAAGGAAGCCUACUAGGCAACCCUUCUCUUGCAUAGCAAAGAGAGUCUUCUGGUCUCGAAAGGGGCGCGAGUUCGAAUCUCGCUCUUGUCA